AGAAAGCAUAGAUCAGAUGGUAAAGCGCUCGCUUAUCACGCGAGAGGUUCGGGGAUCGAUACCCCGCGCCUCUG